GACGAACCGUGCGAACGUUUUUCGGAAUCACUGGGCUUAAAGGGCGCGUAGGCGGGCGGCCUUGUCAGGGGUGAAAUCUUUCGGCCUAACCGGAAAAGUGCCUCUGAAACGGGCCGCCUCGAGGGAGGUAGGGGCAUGCGGAACUUCCGGUGGAGCGGUGAAAUGCGUAGAUAUCGGAAGGAACGCCGGUGGCGAAAGCGGCGUGCUGGACCUCUUCUGACGCUGAGGCGCGAAAGCCAGGGGAGCAAACGGG
rnacentral:rRNA from 1 species